ACUCCUACGGGAGGCAGCAGUGGGGAAUAUUGCACAAUGGGCGCAAGCCUGAUGCAGCCAUGCCGCGUGUAUGAAGAAGGCCUUCGGGUUGUAAAGUACUUUCAGCAGUGAGGAAGGUGGGGUAUGUUAAUAGCAUACUCAUUUGUACGUUAGCUGCAGAAGAAGCACCGGCUAACUCCGUGCCAGCAGCCGCGGUAAGUACGGAGGGUGCGAGCGUUAAUCGGAAUUACUGGGCGUAAAGCGCAUGCAGGUGGUUUGUUAAGUCAGAUGUGAAAGCCCGGGGCUCAACCUCGGAAUUGCAUUUGAAACUGGCAAACUAGAGUACUGUAGAGGGGGUAGAAUUUCAGGUGUAGCGGUGAAAUGCGUAGAGAUCUGAAGGAUACCGGUGGCGAAGGCGGCCCCUGGACAGAUACUGACACUCAGAUGCGAAAGCGUGGGAGCAAACAGGAUUAGAU
rnacentral:rRNA from 1 species